rnacentral:tRNA from 1 species
GAGGAUAUAGUCCAAUGGUAGAACAACAGGCUGUUAACCUGUGAACGGUGGUUCGACUUCCACCUAUCCUCG